rnacentral:rRNA from 1 species
GAAAGUAAGCAAGGGCAGACGGUGGAUGCCUUGGCUCUCGGAGGCGAUGAAGGACGUGAUAAGCUGCGAUAAGCUUGGGGUAGGUGCAAAUAACCUUUGAUCCCAAGAUUUCCGAAUGGGGCAACCCGGCUGGUGGAAGGCCAGUCAUUCCGUAAGGAAGGCGAACGUGGGGAACUGAAACAUCUAAGUACCCAUAGGAGAAGAAAACAAAAGUGAUUCCGCAAGUAGUGGCGAGCGAACGCGGAACAGCCCAAACCGAUGAUGUUUAGGCAUUGUCGGGGUAGUAGGACCACGUUGUGGCAAGAGAUUAAGGAAGUAGAACGUUUUGGAACAAACGGCCGUAGACGGUGAAAGCCCGGUAUACGACUCUUUAACGAAGCCUAGUGGAAUCCUGAGUAGCGCGGAGCACGAGAAAUUCUGUGUGAAUCAGCGGGGCCCAUCCCGUAAGGCUAAAUACUCCCGAGAGACCGAUAGCGAACCAGUACUGUGAAGGAAAGGUGAAAAGCACCUCGAACAGAGGAGUGAAAUAGUCCCUGAAACCGUCUGCCUACAAGCGGUCGGAGCAACGUAAGUUGUGACGGCGUGCCUUUUGCAUAAUGAACCUACGAGUUACUUUCUCCGGCAAGGUUAAGGGCUUCAGGCCCGGAGCCGAAGCGAAAGCGAGUCUUAAUAGGGCGUGAUAGUCGGAGUGAGUAGACGCGAAACCAAGUGAUCUACCCUUGGUCAGGAUGAAGGUUGGGUAACACCAACUGGAGGUCCGAAUGGGUAUACGUUGAAAAGUGUUCCAAUGAACUGAGGGUAGGGGUGAAAGGCUAAUCAAACUUGGAGAUAGCUCGUACUCCCCGAAAUGCAUUUAGGUGCAGCCUUUAUUUAGUAUAGCAUGAGGUAGAGCGACUGAUUGGAUGCGAGGGCUUCACCGCCUAUCAAGUCCAGAUAAACUCCGAAUGCGUGCUAUAUAUUGAUAAGGAGUGAGGGCGCGGGUGCUAAGGUCCGCGUCCGAGAGGAGAAGAAUCCAGACCAUCAGCUAAGGUCCCCAAAUAACAGUUAAGUUGAACUAACGAAGUCGGACUGCAGAGACAGCUAGGAUGUUGGCUUGGAAGCAGCCAUUCAUUUAAAGAGUGCGUAACAGCUCACUAGUCGAGGAGUCCGGCGUGGAUAAUACUCGGGCAUAAACUGUUUACCGAAGCUAUGGAUGUAGAAAUACAUGGUAGGGGAGCAUUCCAACGGCGUUGAAGGUGAAGGAUGACCUUUGCUGGAGCUUUUGGAAACGCAAAUGUAGGUAUAAGUAACGAUAAAGGAGGUGAGAAACCUCCUCGCCGAAAGACUAAGGUUUCCUGAUCAACGUUAAUCGGAUCAGGGUAAGUCGGGACCUAAGGUUAAGCCGAACGGCGAUACCGAUGGAAGAAUGGUUUAAUAUUCCCAUACUACUUUAUGGAGCGAUGUGGAGACGGAGAAGUGAAAGUCCUGCCAUCUGACGGAAUAGGUGGUUGAAGAGUGUAGAUGUAGAUUCCUGUAGGCAAAUCCGCAGGGAGAGUCGACCUUGACAGUAUGCCGCGUGCUUGCACAAGGCAAAAUGGACGUAAUCAGGCUCCCAAGAAAAUCCGCUAAGCAUAUUCAUAAAGUACCCGUACCGUAAACGGACACACGUAGUUGGGUUGAAAAUACUGAGGCGCUCGAGUGAUUCACGGUUAAGGAACUAGGCAAAUUGACCCUGUAACUUCGGGAUAAAGGGUCCCUACUGAGAGGUAGGGCGCAGAGAAUAGGUCCAGGCAACUGUUUAACAAAAACACAUGGCUGUGCGAAAUAGAAAUAUGAAGUAUACAGCCUGACACCUGCCCGGUGCUGGAAGGUUAAGAGGAGAGCUCAUCGCAAGAGAAGGCUUGAAUUGAAGCCCCAGUAAACGGCGGCCGUAACUAUAACGGUCCUAAGGUAGCGAAAUUCCUUGUCGGGUAAGUUC